rnacentral:tRNA from 1 species
GGUUCCGUAGCUCAAUCGGGAGAGUGCUUGCUUGUCACGCAAGAGGUAGCGAGAUCGAAACUCGUCGGAACCGCCA